GCAGGGGACCUUCGGGCCUUGCGCUAUCAGAUGAGCCCAGGUCGGAUUAGCUAGUAGGUGAGGUAAAGGCUCACCUAGGCGACGAUCCGUAGCUGGUCUGAGAGGAUGAUCAGCCACACUGGAACUGAGACACGGUCCAGACUCCUACGGGAGGCAGCAGUGGGGAAUAUUGGACAAUGGGCGAAAGCCUGAUCCAGCCAUGCCGCGUGUGUGAAGAAGGCCUUCGGGUUGUAAAGCACUUUAAGCGGGGAGGAAGGGCUUCUGGCUAAUAUCCAGGAGCAUUGACGUUACCCGCAGAAUAAGCACCGGCUAACUCUGUGCCAGCAGCCGCGGUAAUACAGAGGGUGCAAGCGUUAAUCGGAAUUACUGGGCGUAAAGCGCGCGUAGGCGGUUUGUUAAGUCGGAUGUGAAAU
rnacentral:rRNA from 1 species